UACGUAGGGUGCGAGCGUUGUCCGGAAUUAUUGGGCGUAAAGAGCUCGUAGGCGGUGUGUCGCGUCGGUCGUGAAAACUUGGGGCUUAACCCCGAGCUUGCGGUCGAUACGGGCAGGCUAGAGUUCGGUAGGGGAGACUGGAAUUCCUGGUGUAGCGGUGAAAUGCGCAGAUAUCAGGAGGAACACCGAUGGCGAAGGCAGGUCUCUGGGCCAUAACUGACGCUGAGAAGCGAAAGCAUGGGGAGCGAACAGG
rnacentral:rRNA from 1 species